CAAGUGAGAUUAAGCCCUUUACAAAGAAGCUAUUACAAGCUAUGAAACUGUUCUCAGCAUUAGUCUUAGUAAAAAUCAGGGUGAAAGUGUUUUUCACUGAAAGUGCUGCUGGCUCAGAUGUUCAAAGCAGGAUAUAGGGUUGGCAGAAUUUGUGGCGAAUAUCUGGUGCUUCCUGUCACAAAUAUAUAAUAUUAGCAUUUGGAUCAAAUCCUUACAUUGCUUAAAGGAUUUAUAUGAGGUAGGGCUGUACUUACCUCAUACUAGGAAGUCAAAUGAAGGAGAGGUAGGAACAUUUCCAGAGAAGGGCUGGGCUGAGGUAAGAUGCAUAGCAAUUUUCAGUAACUAAACCAAAAGAGUACAGUGCUUCAAGUCCUGAUUCAUACAGACUUUCUUUAGCUAAAUGGGAUGAACCACUGCCUACCUAUUAGUCUUUCUUGGUUUCUGGACUGGAUGCUCUGGAGAAUCUGUAGUUAAAUAAUUUUAUUUCCAACAAGAAGAAAGAUGGUUUAAAAAUAGGCCUUUGGAGAAAUCAAGCUCGAGUGAGAUAGGGAUAUGUGUGACCCAAAGUGUCAAUCCACAGUCACAGGAAGCCACGGGAUAGAUUGUAUAUGAAUAAAAAAAAAUAAAGCAAGGGAGCACCAAUUAACUGCUUUACAGACUACUGAUGGAAAUUGAGCUUUUACCUUUUUUAGAGAAAAGUAAAGGGCUUUAAGAACUUACAACGUGUCUGUGGCUUCAUGAUCAAACUGUGGCCUACUCCUGACAGAAGGCCGAUUAGCCAGGCAGGCCUCCAAUGAGGCUGCUUUCCUGAGAGAGGCAUUUCGAUUGUCAGGGGUUUAAAUGGCUGUGAGAAUGGCCUUCUACAAGGUAAACUGAGCCUCUAUUGUUGCCCUAAAGAUACUGAAUAACCAGAUCCUUUGAAGUGUAAAAACAAGAAAGAUUUUCACAACUGAUACCUUUGUCUUGGUGUCUCUGGAAAAUUGUCACAGUUUUUCUCCUAAAGGAUGUUUUGGAUGCCAGAGACCAGUCAGUAACCGGAAGAGAUGGCCUUGGGCUACAGAUGAAGGCUUGACCCUGCACACCUGAGAAGCAGCCACACAGCAACAGCAGCAGGAUCAUGGUCAAAUGAAGCUCUUUCAGGCAAAGUCACCUGUGUUUAACUGUGCCUGUUCUGGUGGGGAGCUUGUGGCAACAGCCUAAAGAAAGACUUUUGCUGCAGUCCAGCAGCAGUGCUGCUGCUGCUGCAUGCAGAGGCACAGGCUCUAACCAAGAAGGGCCACCAUGUCAGCAUCUUGAUCAGUCUCCAGGCCAAUUUUUGGUUUUGUGCUGAAGAAGAUGAAAUUCUCAUUAAGAAGGCUUUACCUUGCUGCCAGCUAAGUAAGAGCCUGCACCGUCAAACAGAGAACCAGAGGGCUCUCUUUAAAACCUGGCCAUCAGGCCUCUAAGUAGCAUCACAUAAUCCAGUUAGAUCCUGGACUGAGUGAGUAAAUGGAGUGCCAGGUGCAACUGGGAAUGAAGAAGGAGCAUGUGAGAUUUAGCAUGAUCAAAAGCAUCCUGGAGAUGGAAAUAUGCCUUUGGUUUGAGCGUUUCACUUGCCUGAAAAGCAAAAUGCAUGCCAAAAAUGAGUAAGAAAGCAUGCCUUUAAAUCAAUGCCAUUCUCAGAUUCUGUGUAAAAUCUCAUCAUCACUGAAACAGACAAGAGAAUAGAAAUCUAAAGACAGCUGGUAUGAUUAGAUUGUGGCUUAUUCCCUUCUCCCACCUGAAGAUAAUGCAGAAAUGUGAAAGGUUUCUGAUCCUGAUCCUGCUAAGUCAUCUUGCUGACAAUUAUUGAUUUGCAGGGUUGGUUGGCUGGUUGAUUUGCAUGAGUGUGUAUAUGGCUACUUACAGAGUCUACUUAAUAUUCUGAUGACAAAAGCACUCAAGAAUGACCUCCUCCCCCUCGGGAAAGGCAAGGAGGAAAGAAAGGGAUGUCUUUUUUUUUUUUUUUUUUUUUUUUGGUGCUGUUCUUCACAUUGCAAAAGCAUUUGUGCGCUUGAUUUGUAUCACUAAAAACAGUUUUCUAGGCUAAUGUGAAAUUUGUACAUAAGCCUCAGUCAAGCAAUUGUGCCUUCCAAGGGAGGUGCAUUGCACAGAGAGUUAAGUGAAUUAUUUGGAUGUUCCUAUAACUUAUAAUCAAGCAAUGUCAAGGAUCCCCAUAAUUAUAAGAUCAGUAACAUGAUGAUGAAACGGUACACAUCAAAGAAACCUGGCAUCUGCUGAAAGGAAUUAUUAUGAAAAAUAAGAAAAUUAAAGAUUCCUUGGGGCAUCAAGAGCUGCAACACUUUAAAAAUGGAAAGCUAAAGUAUAAUGAAUAUCAUAUCUACUUGGUCAGUUCAAAAGCAUUCCCUGCAAAACAAUUCUCAAAAAGCCUCCACAGCAGGCUGCAGGACACUAAGAAAGCCACAGUCUUCAGUUCUCUUUUGGGUCACAAAAGACAAAUUGCUCAAAUAACAGAAUCAUCUGCCUUCCUUGUGCACUCUCAAGUUUCCCAACUGGGUCCUUUCAAACAGCAGGAAGGGGACAAACAGCAGCAGCCCAAGAACCCAGGAUGACAAGCCACAGAGGAGGACAGAGAAAGAUUCCCACUUACACAGAGUCCUAUUGAAACCAGCAUAAAAACCCCAGCCAGAGACAGAGAUUGACAGCUUCCCUGGAAUUGAACAGCCUGGCCUGGGCAGAGCCUACCACAGAGUUAAUUCAAGUACUUGGCUGUCCUAGUCCCUGCUUUGAUCUGCUGUGAAGUCCCAAAAUGCUACUGAAAGUUACUGGAAAUCACCAAUAGCUGAAAGCCUGGGUAUGAAUAUUAUUCCUUGCUCAUUCAUGUUCCAUUUCCUCACAUAACGGGACACCACAUAUCAGAAGACCCUUUGUUCAUCAGUCCCCCAAGGAUCCAUGAUGGAAGAAAAUGAAAAUAAGUGAAACAGAAAAAAAUGUCCUUGCAAUAGAGAUUAAUGGAUAACUGCAAAGCCUCCUCAUGCAGAGAUAAAAACUAUAUAUUGGAACAGAAAAAACUAGCUUGUAAGAUAAAUUAUCAAGGAAUAAAAGGAUUAAAUAGAAAAUAUGCAGAACACAAGAGCUGUCAGAGAAGCAACUCCAUGUAAGACAAGCCACUGGCUGAAACAGCAUCAUUAACCAUACACAGGAGCAGCAGGCUGUAAUAAAACCAACAAAAGCUAGAAUCAUGGAAUCACAGCAUCAUUAAGGGUGGAAAAGACCAAGCCAUAGGGUGGGAUCAUCAAGCCCAUCCUUUAAAAGCACAGCUCCUGCCUUCACAACUCAUUCACAAUACAUGAUGUAUUAGCGGGGAGUGUUACCAAGUCACACAACACUACAGCAGCUGUGUCACUUGAUUUCUGCCUCACCAAAUUCAGAACCAGUGGCAGCACAGCUAUAUCAGCUUGCUCACACUGCAUCCCUGUAUCUUCAGGGCAAGGAAAUGAAACUGCUUCAGAUGGGAGCAGUGUGAUGUGAAGCCAGCACAUGUAUCUCUGCAAGAGCAGUAUUACACCAUGUCACCAUCCCUUCUAAAUUCUUUCUUGCUAUUUCAUGUCAAGAGAACUGGAGGUAACAUGAUUUCCAUUCCUGCCAGAGAAUAUAAUUGUCAACAUGGCAGUGCCUAUGAGAUGCGCACAGCAGGGAACAGCUGUAUAAACAUCUACAUUCACUUUGUAAACACAGACAUUUGUACAUCUCCUUGAGGUCCUCCCAGACUUGAAAUGCAUGACACUGGUUGCAAAAAUGCUGAGGUCUUUUUGAUAGUUCAGCCUUGUGUGCAGAGCAAGGGAGUGCUCACCUCAAUGGUCACAUUGCCAAAUGGAAAAUUUGCCACACAUGCCACUUGCUGGCACUGGCUGCAGCACUGACCCUUCUCUUCCACAUAGCGAAAACCCUGUGGGAAUAAAGUUUCCAUUUAUCCAUGUUAACCUGUGUCUUGUUGCUGAAGCAUCUUUGGAUCAAAGCUACACUGAAGAUGGCAGAGGAAAUGAGCCAGCCUUCUGGUUUCAAUUUUGUUGUCUUUUGAAAUCUGCUGGAACCACAUUAAGCCUGACAAUCAAAGCUGGUAAUUUUUCUGCCUUACUGAAUAAUGGCUUCUGGGUACUUCAGUUGCCAUGAGGACUCUGUCAUUGACUAUUCUUCUUUUCAGACUAACACACAAAAUAGAUCAAAUAAAUUAAUUUAGCACAUGAUUACUUGCACAAUCUGCCACCACUGCUUGGUCUGGUAUCAUUAUGUACAAGAACUAUUGCUGUCAGACAUGUGAAGAUUUUCUCCUCUUGUUUUAGGUAGGCAUUGGUCUUCUGGUGGUUGUGGGUGUGGCUGGCUUCAGGAAAAAGCAUUAUGAAAGGUUUCAUCCAUUUUUAACAUUGGUGGUGUAUCUGUCCUUAUCUGGGCAUGAAUGCAAAAGCAACCACCUUACUUAUAUUCAGUAACAGACUGAACAACUUGAGUGCUAAUUCUCACAAGUACUGAGAAGGAAUUGGGUAUUCCCCAUCCACAAGUGAAAGUGUCUGGAAACAUAAACCACUGUGGAGUUUCCUCACAAUCUUCAUUUAUGAGCUGACAAUGGACAACAUGAACAGAAUGACACAAACAUCUUUCAGCAGUCAGACUUUAACAGGUUUGCAAUCAUUUCCCCUCAGGGCACUUUUUCAAGGGUGACCUCUUAAAUUUGUAGGAGUGAAAAUAACAGCACCCUAAAAGGGACUUUUACAAAACAAUAAAUAGAAGAUUCUAUCCUGCAGCGUUGCACAGAUAAAGCAGUUACACUGCCCUGUUUCAACUGAACAGCCAUUGUGGUCAAGGAGGUGCUGACCUGCUG